rnacentral:rRNA from 1 species
GCAAGUCGAACGAGAAAGUUCCUUCGGGAGCGAGUAAAGUGGCGGACGGGUGAGUAACGCGUAGGAAUCUACCUUUCAGUGGGGGAUAGCUCGGGGAAACUCGAAUUAAUACCGCAUACACCCUUCGGGGGAAAGGGGGCCUCUCCUUGGAAGCUCUCGCUGUUAGAUGAGCCUGCGUGAGAUUAGCUUGUUGGUAAGGUAAUGGCUCACCAAGGCUACGAUCUCUAGCUGGUCUGAGAGGACGAUCAGCCACACUGGGACUGAGACACGGCCCAGACUCCUACGGGAGGCAGCAGUAGGGAAUAUUGGACAAUGGGGGCAACCCUGAUCCAGGCAUGCCGCGUGUGUGAAGAAGGCCUUAGGGUUGUAAAGCACUUUAAGUGAGGAAGAAAAGAUUUAAAUUAAUACUUUAAGUCCCUGACAUUACUCACAGAAUAAGGACCGGCUAACUCCGUGCCAGCAGCCGCGGUAAUACGGAGGGUCCAAGCGUUAAUCGGAAUUACUGGGCGUAAAGCGCGCGUAGAUGGUUUAUUCAGUUGGGUGUGAAAUCCCUGGGCUCAACCUAGGAACUGCAUUCAAAACUUAUAAACUAGAGUACGAAAGAGGAGAGUAGAAUUCAUGGUGUAGCGGUGAAAUGCGUAGAGAUCAUGAGGAAUACCAGUGGCGAAGGCGACUCUCUGGUUCGAGACUGACAUUGAGGUGCGAAAGCGUGGGUAGCAAACAGGAUUAGAUACCCUGGUAGUCCACGCCGUAAACGAUGAGAACUAGCCGUUGGAUCUUUAGAUUCAGUGGCGCAGCUAACGCAUUAAGUUCUCCGCCUGGGGAGUACGGCCGCAAGGCUAAAACUCAAAUGAAUUGACGGGGGCCCGCACAAGCGGUGGAGCAUGUGGUUUAAUUCGAUGCAACGCGAAGAACCUUACCAACCCUUGACAUCCAGUGGAAGUUUUAGAGAUAAAACUGUGCCUUUGGGAACACUGUG